GAUGAACGCUAGCUACAAGCUUAACACAUGCAAGUCGAGGGGAAACGACAUCGAAAGCUUGCUUUUGAUGGGUGUCGACCGGCGCACGGGUGAGUAACGCGUAUCCAACCUGCCCACCACUUGGGGAUAACCUUGCGAAAGUAAGACUAAUACCCAAUGAUAUCUCUAGAAGACAUCUGAAAGAGAUUAAAGAUUUAUCGGUGAUGGAUGGGGAUGCGUCUGAUUAGCUUGUUGGCGGGGUAACGGCCCACCAAGGCUGCGAUCAGUAGGGGUUCUGAGAGGGAGGUCCCCCACAUUGGAACUGAGACACGGUCCAAACUCCUACGGGAGGCAGCAGUGAGGAAUAUUGGUCAAUGGGCGAGAGCCUGAACCAGCCAAGUAGCGUGCAGGAUGACGGCCCUAUGGGUUGUAAACUGCUUUUAUAAGGGAAUAAAGUGAGCCUCGUGAGGCUUUUUGCAUGUACCUUAUGAAUAAGGACCGGCUAAUUCCGUGCCAGCCGCCGCCGUAA
rnacentral:rRNA from 1 species